UCGCCUACGGGGGGCAGCAGUGGGGAAUAUUGCACAAUGGGGGAAACCCUGAUGCAGCGACGCCGCGUGCAGGAAGAAGGUUUUCGGAUUGUAAACUGCUUUAGACAGGGAAGAAACAAGACAGUACCUGUAGAAUAAGCUCCGGCUAACUACGUGCCAGCAGCCGCGGUAAUACGUAGGGAGCAAGCGUUAUCCGGAUUUAUUGGGUGUAAAGGGUGCGUAGACGGGAAGGCAAGUUAGUUGUGAAAUCCCUCGGCUUAACUGAGGAACUGCAACUAAAACUAUCUUUCUUGAGUGCUGGAGAG
rnacentral:rRNA from 1 species